ensembl:antisense 1700045H11Rik RIKEN cDNA 1700045H11 gene
ACCGAAGAGUUUGCGUGGGGCCCGCCGGGCGGCGCUAGCAGCCUCGUCUCCUGAGGGGACGUUUCUAUUUGGGCCGCCUCUGUGCGAGCUGCCUAGCCUAAGGACACCGAGUUUUCCUUAGAAGCAACCGCGGGAUACACCCCUCUGUAGAGAAAGAAGACCAACAAGAUCCUCCUUCUGCACUUGGGAGCUGGAGGAUGUGCUCAUGUUUUGUAAAGAUGAAUAAGGAAGAGCUACAGUAGCAGGCAUGGUGUUCCCUGCUUGUAAUCCCAGCAACCUGGAGCUUGAGGAGGAAGGCUUGAGAGUCCAGAGCAUCCUGGGCUACAUCUGUCUCAAAUGGAAUCUGAAAACUGAACUAAUGACGUAUGGAGCCAAAAGCACAGCUAAGAGAGUAAUUCCCAAGCUCGAUGUUUUAUGUGUGCAAGCUAAGUGGAUUUUCUCCAUACUUCACGGAAGAAGUAAGGCGACCACCGGAGCGCUAAAGAGGAGGUCCUUUGGUAUUUGAAUUAUUUCACUGAAAUAAGAUCAGGCUCGAAAAACCUCUUUAAAACUAAGGUGAUGUUUCCAGAAAUAAAGAUCACAUAGUGGUUGCC